rnacentral:rRNA from 1 species
CGGCGUGCCUAACACAUGCAAGUCGAGCGAUGAAACCCUUCGGGGUGGAUUAGCGGCGGACGGGUGAGUAACACGUGGGUAACCUGCCUCAAAGAGGGGGAUAGCCUCCCGAAAGGGAGAUUAAUACCGCAUAACAUUAGUUUUUCGCAUGGAGAACUAAUUAAAGGAGUAAUCCGCUUUGAGAUGGACCCGCGGCGCAUUAGCUAGUUGGUGAGGUAAAGGCUCACCAAGGCGACGAUGCGUAGCCGACCUGAGAGGGGUGAUCGGCCACAUUGGAACUGAGACACGGUCCAGACUCCUACGGGAGGCAGCAGUGGGGAAUAUUGCACAAUGGGCGAAAGCCUGAUGCAGCAACGCCGCGUGAGUGAUGAAGGCCUUCGGGUUGUAAAGCUCUGUCUUUUGGGACGAUAAUGACGGUACCAAAGGAGGAAGCCACGGCUAACUACGUGCCAGCAGCCGCGGUAAUACGUAGGUGGCGAGCGUUGUCCGGAUUUACUGGGCGUAAAGGAUGCGUAGGCGGAUUUUUAAGUGAGAUGUGAAAUACCCGGGCUUAACUUGGGUGCUGCAUUUCAAACUGGAAGUCUAGAGUGCGGG